UCGGAUACUACAUUGUCAUCUCCGGAAUAGUUGGAAACCCUUCAUCUUUCUGAGCUGAAUGUGACUCCAGCCUUGAAUCCAGUCAACUGAGAAUACAAAACAGCAUCAGGCUGCAGAGAUUUUGGUCCAUUUGAGGAAAAGCAAAGGACUGAAACCUUGGCUAAAUUUAGGAUAGGAUCCUGGGACACCAGAACAGAUGCAUCCUUUAGCAGUUGAUUGUGCCC
rnacentral:lncRNA from 1 species